CGCGGCCUAUCAGCUUGUUGGCGGGGUAACGGCCCACCAAGGCAACGACGGGUAGCUGGUUUGAGAGGACGAUCAGCCACACUGGAACUGAGACACGGUCCAGACUCCUACGGGAGGCAGCAGUGGGGAAUCUUGCGCAAUGGGCGAAAGCCUGACGCAGCAACGCCGCGUGCGGGAUGACAGCCCUCGUGGUUGUAAACCGCUUUCAGCAGGGACGAAAAUGACGGUACCUGCAGAAGAAGUCCCGGCUAACUACGUGCCAGCAGCCGCGGUAAUACGUAGGGGACAAGCGUUGUCCGGAUUCAUUGGGCGUAAAGAGCUCGUAGGCGGUUCAGUAAGUUGGGUGUGAAAGCUCCGGGCUCAACCCGGAGAGGCCACUCAAUACUGCUGUGACUAGAGUCCAGUAGAGGAGCGUGGAACUCCUGGUGUAGCGGUGAAAUGCGCAGAUAUCAGGAAGAACACCGGCAGCGAAGGCGGCGCUCUGGGCUGGAACUGACGCUGAGGAGCGAAAGCAUGGGUAGCAAACAGGAUUAGAUACCCUGGUAGUCCAUGCCGUAAACGUUGGGCACUAGGUGUGGGGAGGAUUCAACCCUCUCUGUGCCGUAGCUAACGCAUUAAGUGCCCCGCCUGGGGAGUACGG
rnacentral:rRNA from 1 species